ACCCAGUUAUGGAUCCAUCAGGUACAAGCCACUAGCCACCAGGUAAUAGAGAUUUCCCCUCUGAUUUAGUUGGAUUGGGGGAGGCUAGAGAGGCUUGCUUGUUGUUGUGUUUUCUGCGUGAGAGAGCAGAGAGAACUGAGAGAUCACAUGGAUCCAGUGUACAGAUGAGCUUUUGGUGUGGGGGUGGUGGUGGUGGUUGAGGUAGCAGGGAGAGGAUGGUCACUAGAUGGAAGAGUGCAGGGAAUGUUGCUUGCUACUGCUACUGCAUGUGCUAUUGUGUUAUUUUGUAAUAUUUCUGAACUGUUAGCGAUAUUGCCGCAGUGAGAUGAGCUUAUUUUGUAAUAUAUGGUCUUUUCCAGUGCAUUGCAAAACUAACUAAUAGUUUGUGAUCUGACACCCUGGUAACCUCAUGAUUGGGUGGUGCAUGCAGGGCACACCUCCGAGCUAGCCGAUGCUUAGUAUACCAGUGUUCUGCUGCAUCCGGUGCGACCUCAAAGAAUACCUUCGUCUAGCUGGCCGUUGAGCACCUUAGGGACGACGAGGUGCAGUGCCUGGGGUGUAAGCAGUUCAACUACACGAUGAAGUGAGUAAAGGGGUUAAGACGGUUGCGUUGUGCGUGCGCUGCUUGCUUGCUGGUCUAAUUUCUCGGAAACAGUUUCAGUCAAUGCUGGGCCGAAACCUCUUAAACUCAUUAAGUAGCGUUCUUGGAGAGUUGAAAUCUCAUUUCAUUGAUGAUGUAUUGCGCUGCGUGUUGGUUAAGAUGAAGCAAGGAGAAAACCAUUGACGAUGUAUUGUGAUGCAUGUUUCAGUCAACUUGUUGGACAACUGUACACGUAUGUGUUUUUUCAAGCCCACUGAUUUCAGCCUCUCCGUCUCCUUCAAGCCGAUGAGAAGUUCAGGGAUAUUCCUGGGAGUGCCUAUUAUGUGGCUCCGGAGGUGCUGAAGCGGAUAUAUGGAGCCGAUAAUUGCAUAUGGAGUGCUGGAGUUAUACUCUACAUUCUGCUGUCUGGCAUUCCUCCUUUUUGGGCAGCA